UUUGCAAGCAGGAGCCAAUCACAGCUGAGAGGUUCGGAUUUCAGCUCCUCCCUCUGGGACAGCUGUGAGCAGAGGAAGAAUCUGUUGUCAGACUAAAUUAUUCUGGUUCAAAAUGGACUGUUCUUCGGGAUUUCACUGGAGAGGGGAAAAAUUGCUUAAGCAUUUUCAAGGAGGUGCUGGAAGAAGAGAGUGAAAAAGAAAGUAACAGUGGUUAAGUCAAGACUUGUAAGAGGAAAGAGCAUCGUCAGACGGAUGGCCUAACUUCUUCAUCUUGGGAUGAGAAAAAAAGCUUGUGUGUUGGGGUUAGGGAGUGGGGUGCUUACAGGUUUCCUGAGCUAAUUUCAAUGAUUCUUUUGUUGCUCUUACUACAGUCACUAAUUUAAAUAUUAGAGAAGGGAAUUUAGAUGAAUCUUAACGUUAAAAAGAACAGUAUCUCUAGAAGACUGGAAAAUAUAAACAUGCAUUAGAUUCCUCCACUAAUGUGUAAACUGGAGUGUAAUUUGGAGCAAGUUUUCUGAGCCUUGUACUUUUCAUGAGAGUAUGUUCAGAUCUAGGCACCUGGUUUAUUGAAAUAGGAGUCCUCCUUGCCCUUACCACCCAACUUUCUGCAAAAGGCACAUUUUGUUAGAGACAUAAUAUAGUUGAGAAAUAUAAUAUAGUUCGGAAAACA